AGGAUGAACGCUGGCGGCGUGCCUAACACAUGCAAGUCGAACGUCCUGUCUCGCAAGAGGCAGGGAGUGGCGGACGGGUGAGUACCACGUGGGUCAUCUACCGUGAGGUGAGGAAUACCGGCGAGAAAUCGCCGACAAGACCGCAUAGGCUCGAUGCAAGUCGAGCAAAGCUCUUUCGAGAGAGGGAGCGCCACACGAGGAGCCUGCGCCCGAUUAGCUAGCUGGUGGAGUAACGGUUCACCAGGGCGACGAUCGGUAGCUGGUCUGAGAGGACGAUCAGCCACACUGGGAUUGAGAACGGCCCAGACUCCUACGGGGGGCAGCAGUGAGGAAUUUCGUCAAUGGGGGCAACCCUGAACGAGCAACGCCGCGUGCAGGAGAAGGUUUUCGGAUCGUAAACUGCUUUUCUCGGGAAGAGAAUGGACGGUACCCGAGGAAUCAGCCCCGGCUAACUACGUGCCAGCAGCCGCGGU
rnacentral:rRNA from 1 species